CUGGGAAAAGACAACCUCCUUGGGAUUGAGGGGAAAACUGGCGCUGAAACAUCUGAAGUGCAAGCCCCUCAAUCCCCGGAAGAGGCACCAGGAACUGCAGGAGAUGCUGUCUCCAUGGAGAGUAGGGCAGCAGCUUCCUGUCAUGCAGAAGAAACAUGAGAUUCUCUACCUGGGGACACUCUGCCACGAUACAUGUAGUGAGAUUAGAAGGAAAGGGAGGUGGGCACAAAGAGAUGCGUUGAGGGGUCACAAAGAGACAG